GGAAAGAAGAGGGCGGUUCUGGUGGGAUGCAACUACCCGGGGACGAAGGCAGAGCUGAAGGGAUGCAUCAACGACGUAAAGCGGAUGCAGCGAUGCCUGAUCGAGCGGUACGGAUUCGCGGAGGAGGACAUCGUGGUGCUGAUCGAUACGGACCCUUCCUACCCGCAGCCAUCGGGGGCCAACAUCCGCAAGGCCAUCUCCGACCUCGUCGCCUCCGCCCGCCCUGGGGACUACCUUUUCAUCCACUACAGUGGCCACGGCACCCGCCUCCCCGCCGAGACCGGCGACAACGACGACA
rnacentral:lncRNA from 1 species